GCCCUUGAAGGGGGUUCAAGGUGGAUUGGAGGGGUUCAUCUUCAUCAGAGCUCCUCUUUCCUCACGGUGACUUUCUCCUGAUCGCGACUUCGCAGGCUGCGCAUGAAGCCGAUGAACCCUGCUUCCUGGAAAGAGCAGGUGGAGUCUUAUUGCCGCAAGAUGAGGAGAGUUUAGCGACUGGCUAUGACUUACACAUGCGAGCUGCUUAAAACCCAGGAAAUGAUCAGAGAUGAUCCCAGAGGAGAUUUGAGAUCUCAAAUUUUAACAACUACAGUCCAAAUAGCUGAUUUCGGGCCUCUCGGAAGUCCUCUGAGCCAAGGUGGAGGACGCUGGAGGGUUUGUCUUCCCAGGACUGCUCUGGUGGCGGUGGAGCCUGUGGACUGGAGCAUAUAGAAUUGUGUGAUAAUAGUACAUUCUUCACAUUUUAAAGAGGAAUUGAAAUUGUACACAGUAAUGCGCAGGUUACGAAAAGACAAGUUGCACAGGUUAAAGCAAGACAAUUAUACAGUUGAAGCCAGGAGUUUACAUACACUGCGCAAAAAUAUUUCAUUUUUCGUCUCACUGUCCCGAGGUUAAAUCAGACUAAACCUGUCCUGUGUCAGGUGUGUCAGGAUCACCAAAAUUAAUAGAAUUUUGUCAAAUGCCACAAUAAUGAGAGAAUUAUCGUAAUUUCCAGACUAUAAGAUGCGACCUUUGUCACACGCUUUCAACCCUGCGGUUUAUAAAAAGAAGUGGCUAAUUUGUGCAUUUUUUUUUUUAACGGCCGCCAGGGGCGCUCGAGCAUAAAAGGUAAGAGUGUGACAGGUGUGUCGAGAAAGACGCAAGUUUAAUGUAACGUCGCGCUUUGUGCGUGAAUAAAAUUAACACGAUGUGACCCUCAUCCUGGAAAUUGCAAGAAGAAAUGCACAUGACGCAGCUUUCAAGUUAAAAGCAAUCGAGCUGGCCGAUGAUGAAGGAAACAGGCAGAAAUGAAUCGAUGGCGAGACACUGGAAAUGGCUGUGGGAAGGCUGGAGCAAUGUUAAAAUACGAAAAAAGCUUUCAGAUGUAAUAAAAGCAGGUGGAGUGAACAGUGUUGCUGCCACGUCUCAGUGAAUUUUACUGGUACGUUUUUUUUACUCAGCCCUGUUAGUACUGUGUUACUACCGUAUUGUUGCUGUUACUGCCACGUCACACGCACUGUUUGGAAAGAAAAGCUAAGUUAAGCUAAGCUAAGUUAUGUUAUUAAAACUUUGAAAACUC